UGGGGCUAUUCCCUGUUGGUCUUAAUAGCCAGCAAAGUCAGGUAUUAUGACACUUAUCUAGGUUGUACUGAAUUCAAAGGCUGCUUAUUGUGGCAUAGCUCUCCUGCUCAGGUAACCUCCUCCUCCAGGAAAAGCUUUGUACCUAAAGAUUGCUCCUGGCCAUGAAGUGCCAUGGCUAGAAUGUGUUUUUUUCCACAGCAGAAAGGCAAAGACACCAGAGAUUAUCGAGUCACAAAAUCUCCCUUGGUUCAGCCUUCAGGUCGGUCCCUGCGGGUGGAGAUUUUCCUUUGCUGAACUUGCAGGGCUCAUGUCCAUGAGAGAAAGACCCACAAGAGGAACACUGAGGUUUACUCCUCUCACUCACUUAAUGGCGGUCCCUUCUGCAUGUUGUGCAGAUGCAUUGUUUCAUCAUGGCCGUGCUUAUGGGCAAGAGAUGCAAGGAGAGAGAACUGAUGAUUAACCAAUGCACAGAGAAAAUACUCUGAAUUUCAA
rnacentral:lncRNA from 1 species